GGGUUGUGAGGUUAAGCGACUAAGCGUACACGGUGGAUGCCCUGGCAGUCAGAGGCGAUGAAGGACGUGCUAAUCUGCGAUAAGCGUCGGUAAGGUGAUAUGAACCGUUAUAACCGGCGAUUUCCGAAUGGGGAAACCCAGUGUGAUUUGUCACACUAUCAUUAACUGAAUCCAUAGGUUAAUGAGGCGAACCGGGGGAACUGAAACAUCUAAGUACCCCGAGGAAAAGAAAUCAACCGAGAUUCCCCCAGUAGCGGCGAGCGAACGGGGAGGAGCCCAGAGCCUGAAUCAGUGUGUGUGUUAGUGGAAGCGUCUGGAAAGGCGCGCGAUACAGGGUGACAGCCCCGUACACAAAAAUGCACAUGCUGUGAGCUCGAUGAGUAGGGCGGGACACGUGGUAUCCUGUCUGAAUAUGGGGGGACCAUCCUCCAAGGCUAAAUACUCCUGACUGACCGAUAGUGAACCAGUACCGUGAGGGAAAGGCGAAAAGAACCCCGGCGAGGGGAGUGAAAAAGAACCUGAAACCGUGUACGUACAAGCAGUGGGAGCACGCUUCGGCGUGUGACUGCGUACCUUUUGUAUAAUGGGUCAGCGACU
rnacentral:rRNA from 1 species